UUCAACCAUGGGAAAGAACAAAAAAUGGCAGCCAUGGAUGAGCUCCAUUCGGCCAAGCUUCUAUGGCUUAUAUAGUGUUGUCAGGUUGGCUUGGGGUUGGAGAUCGUCGAAAGUAUCAUCACACUAUUAGUUUAUCAAAUUAGAAUCAUGGUGAUUCUUAUUUAUUGUCAAAUAAGUGGCAUGUAUAGAUAAUUAGUUAUUGAUAUUAAGUAAUAUUAUGAUUUAGCCAAAAAAAAAUUUCUAAGUGUCUGAAAGAUUUCUGUUUGUUCCUGAACCAAUUUCAAUGAUUGUUUUGGGACUUGUAGGCCCUUUUAAGGGACAAAUUAUAUAUGUUUGAAAAGUUUAAAAUUGAUGAAAUUUUAUGUCUCAGUUUUAAAUGAUUACAAGUA